AAUCAACGCUGGCGGCGUGCCUAACACAUGCAAGUCGAACGAGAAAGUGGAGCAAUCCAUGAGUAAAGUGGCGCACGGGUGAGUAACACGUGACUAACCUACCCUUGAGUGGGGAAUAACUUCGGGAAACCGAGGCUAAUACCGCAUAACACCUACGGGUCAAAGGAGCAAUUCGCUUAAGGAGGGGUCGCGGCAGAUUAGUUAGUUGGCGGGGUAAGUGGCCCACCAAGACGGUGAUCGUAUCCGGCCUGAGAGGGCGCACGGACACACUGGAACU
rnacentral:rRNA from 1 species